UUCAUACAAGAAUCAUUACAAAGUUAAAUUCUCCUUUUCAAAACAUUUCCUAUACAUUUCUCAAACACUUUUUCAAACUAAAAAAACAUAAAUGAUUGAGCAAUUAAGAGCCCAUGGAUAACCAUGGAUACAAAGGGUGCUAAUACCUUCCCUUUGUAUAAUGUACCUCCCGAACCUAAGAAUUUAAAUUAAGGUCUUUC
rnacentral:lncRNA from 1 species